rnacentral:rRNA from 1 species
UACGUAGGGGGCUAGCGUUGUCCGGAAUCACUGGGCGUAAAGGGUGCGUAGGCGGCUUGGUAGGUCUGGUGUGAAAGCCCCGGGCUCAGCCCGGGAAGGGCACUAGAAAACUGCCAAGCUAGAGUGCCGGAGGGGAGAGUGGAAUUCCUGGUGUAGCGGUGAAAUGCGUAGAUAUCAGGAGGAAUACCGGUGGCGAAAGCGACUCUCUGGACGGCAACUGACGCUGAGGCACGAAAGCGUGGGGAGCAAACAGG